rnacentral:rRNA from 1 species
GACGAACCGAGCGAACGUUGUUCGGAAUCACUGGGCUUAAAGGGCGCGUAGGCGGGCUGCCGCGUCCGGGGUGAAUCCUCCGGCUCAACCGGGGAAGGGCCUCGGGUACGGGCGGCCUCGGAGGGGGGUAGGGGCGUGCGGAAACUGUGGGUGGAGCGGUGGAAAUGCGUUGAUAUCCACAGGAAACUCCGGUGGCGAAGGCGGCACGCUGGACCCUCCCUGACGCUGAGGCGCGAAAGCCAGGGGGAGCAAACGGG